ACUAUAUAAAGAUAUGUGACUACAAGAUAGGUUAGUAUCUCCCUUUAUAGUAUUUUAAAAACGAAACUUGUUGUUGUUUUUGUUGCGUAACUGUAUUUGAAUUAUAAUAGUAAGACUAUAGAUGUUAUUUGAGUACAUUGAAACAAGUUCAAGGCAAGUGGAUAUAGGGUAACCGUCCGUCCUUUACAUAGGUAUAAAAGAGAUCUGAAAGGUUGUUUAUAAUAAUUUAUAAAUUUUAGUGGCGGUGUU
rnacentral:ncRNA from 1 species